UACGUAGGGGCCGAGCGUUGUCCGGAGUUAUUGGGCGUAAAGCGCGCGCAGGCGGCCUCGUGCGCCCGACGUGAAAGCCCCCGGCUUAACCGGGGAGGGUCGUUGGGGACGGCGGGGCUUGAGGGCGGGAGAGGGUGGUGGAAUUCCCGGUGUAGUGGUGAAAUGCGUAGAGAUCGGGAGGAACACCCGUGGCGAAGGCGGUUGCCUGGAGCUUUGCUGACGCUGAGGCGCGAAAGCGUGGGGAGCGAUCCGG
rnacentral:rRNA from 1 species